UGGGUUUGACAUCCUGUGGAUUUUUUAGAGAUAAGAGAGUGCCCUGUUAAGGGGAACACAGAGAC
rnacentral:rRNA from 1 species